rnacentral:lncRNA from 1 species
CUGCAGUAGCGGCUUCUGCGGCUCCAAGCCAGCGGGUCCUGUGAAGGCGAGCAGACGCGGAGAAAGGACGCGGGAGUGAGAGAGGCUGUACAGUUUUGGUGUUCAUCUUAGAGGAUUCUUCAGCAGAAGUGAUAUUUCUUUACUGUUUUGUGAGGUAAUACUGAUUUUGAAAAUAUAUAUAAGCUAAAAACAGUAUUUCGUUGAUAUCAGUAGUCAUUGUGUUAACUAUAAAGUCAAGUGCCAGCAAAGAACUUUAAAACUGUAAAGCUGUGUAUAGAACUGUUUUGUGUAGCAUGGAAAUAUUCUGUCAGCUUUUUAAAGUCACUAAAUGUUCUUGAUUAUCAGCUUGAAGGUAUUUUUGUAUUACAAGUUGACAGUUGCUGGGUGUAGUGGCUCAUGCCUGUAAUCCUAGCAACUCGGGGCUGAGGUGGGAGGAUUGCUUCAGCCCAGGAGUUUGAGACCAGCCUGGGCAACAUAGCAAAACCCCAUCUCUACAAAAAUAAAAAAUAUGUCUGGGCAUGGUGGCCCAAGUCUGAGUCCCAGUUACUUGGGAGGAUCACUUGAAUGUAGGAUCACUUGAGUCUAGGAGUUCGGGGCUGCAGCUAUCAUCUGCAGCUAUAAUCAUAGCUCACUGCAGCUAUGAUCAUGUCUCAGCACUCCAGCUUUGGCAACAGAACGAGAUCCCAUCUCUUAGAAAAACAAAGUUGAUAGUUAAAGAACAUAAGUGGAUGAUGGCAUUUGAGGCCACUAGUGAAAGUAUGUUUUCUCUAAAAUAUUUCUCUAAUAGUGAUAUAAAUGGCUAUUUUAUUAUGAUGUUUGUAUGUGUUUUGUAUUUCUCUGUAAACCAUGCUCCAGUCUUUGUUUUUCUGUUACCAUAAUGUAAGAGAAGGUCCUGGAACAGAGACUAAAUCCCACGAAACUGACAUUGUUAAACACACUAAAACAGAAGUACUUACCUCUUGAAGAUUUAAUAUAUAAUGGUUGACAUGAUACAUGUACAUGAUGAAUGACCAGAUGCUUAUGGUCUACAUUUUCCUUUAUCCUGUUAGUAUUACCUUCCUUAAUCUUUGUUCAUUAACAUGCUAAUUCCUCUUCAGUGUUUAUUUUCUAGUGACAGAAUGCUAACAUUUCUUACACCCUGGCAGAAGGGAGAGAAAUGUGUUUUGGGGUGGGUAACUAAAUUUUUGAGUGAAAUAUCAUAAGAUGAGAAUGGAAAGAGGGAGACACAAAGAGUUAUAACAAAAAAACAAUGGUUUUUUUAGCCAUUUGACUGGCUCUUUAAAUAGUCUACAAGACAUUCACGUUUAACAUCACUUUUAGUGAAAUAAAAUGUGCCAUACUAGUAUGUGCUUCAAAAGGGCAAAUGUGCUUUAGUGCCCUAAGGCUAAAUUUUGGUCAUUUGACAUCAGAGAUGUUGUAAGUAUUGCACUUAAUACGCACCUAUUUCUCAAUAGUGUUAUUUUUUGGCUAGCAUUUUCUUUACCACUAUCUUGUUGAUAGCUUUUUGUUCUCUAAGGUUGAAACAUGACAGUGCUUAUCUCAAACAGAUUACCCAUCUGCAGAACUAAGGAAAGCAAUUUAUGUAUGAAAGAAAUUCUUGAAUUCGUCAUUCUCAACCUUUGAAUUAAAGCUUAGACUAAAUAGUAAUAUAUCGUGGGAAGGAUUUUGGUUUUGUGAUAUUUCUGUGAAUUAAGGAAUAGAUGUUAACCAUUAUUUUGUAGAAAAGUGAUUUGUAU